UUCGAAUGCACGGGGAGCCCGGUUAACUGGGCUGAGAGGAGGGCUUGAGCUCUCGACCCGCGAACCUGAUCCGGAUCAUACCGGCGGAGGGAUCGCAGACACGAGGAAUC
rnacentral:ncRNA from 2 species